GCCUGCUUCGGCAACACAUCCCCAGAAACUGGGACAACACGGAGAAGACUAGCAUGGCCUCUGCGCAAGGGUGACAAGAGACUUCCGAAACGGUCCAUGUUUUU